rnacentral:tRNA from 1 species
UGGACUAUGGUGUAAUGGUAGCACUACAGAUUUUGGUUCUGUCAGCCCCAGUUCGAAUCUGGGUAGUCCAA